GACGAACGCUGGCGGCGUGCUUAACACAUGCAAGUCGAACGGAAAGGCCCUGCUUUUGUGGGGUGCUCGAGUGGCGAACGGGUGAGUAACACGUGAGUAACCUGCCCUUGACUUUGGGAUAACUUCAGGAAACUGGGGCUACUACCGGAUAGGAGCUCCUGCUGCAUGGUGGGGUUUGGAAAGUUUCGGCGGUUGGAGAUGGACUCGCGGCUUAUCAGAUUGUUGGUGUGGUAGUGGCUUACCAAGGCAUUGACGGGUAGCCGGCCUGAGAGGGUGACCGGCAACAUUGGGACUGAGAUACGGCCCAGACUCGUACGGGAGGCAGCAGUGGGGAAUAUUGCACAAUGGGCGGAAGCCUGAUGCAGGAACGCCGCGUGCGGGAUUACGGCCUUCGGGUGGUAAACAGCUUUCGCCUGUGACGAAGCGUGAGUGACGGUACUGUGUAAAGAAGCACCGGCUAACUACGUG
rnacentral:rRNA from 1 species